rnacentral:rRNA from 1 species
UUGGAGGGCAAGUCUGGUGCCAGCAGCCGCGGUAAUUCCAGCUCCAAUAGCGUAUAUUAAAGUUGUUGCAGUUAAAAAGCUCGUAGUUGAAUUUCGGGGUUAGUAGGUUGGCCAUGCCUCCGGUAUGUACUGGUCUCACUGAUUCCUCCUUCCUGAUGAACCGUAAUGCCAUUAAUUUGGUGUUGCGGGGAAUUUGGACUGUUACUUUGAAAAAAUUAGAGUGUUUAAAGCAAGCUAACGCUUGAAUACAUUAGCAUGGAAUAAUGAAAUAGGACGUUCGAUCCUAUUUUGUUGGUUUCUAGGAUUGACGUAAUGAUUGAUAGGGAUAGUUGGGGGCAUUAGUAUUCAAUUGUCAGAGGUGAAAUUCUUGGAUUUAUUGAAGACUAACUACUGCGAGAGCAUUUGCCAAGGAUGUUUUCAUUAAUCAAGAACGAAAGUUAGGGGAUCGAAGACGAUCAGAUACCGUCGUAGUCUUAACCAUAAACUAUGCCGACUAGGGAUCGGAUGAUGUUAAUUUUUUAAUGACUCAUUCGGCGCCUUACGGGAAACCAAAGUGUUUGGGUUC